GAACUGCUAGGUACUCCUUUUGGCCUAAGGACACAGUGAAAAAUGUACCGAGACCUUGGAGAGCCACGAACCAAGAAACUUCAGAAACCUCUGAUAUCUGAUCAAGAGUUAAGAGACGUCAGAAUCAUCACAACUGACAAAAGGUGCUCCCGGAUUUUGCUCUCCAGCUUCCGGUUCUUGGUCUCCAGGCUCCUCACUCUGUCCAGAAUGUUUUCUCUCUUCAAGAUUCUCUUUUGAAAGACAUCUAAAAAGAUCAGGAAAAGAAGACCUACACCAGCAUCACUUGUGAUUCUCAAUGAGCAUAACCCCCCAGAAAUAGAUGACAAGAGGGUGCCCAACACACAAGGGGAAUUACAGAAUGCAUCCCCUAAGCAAAGGAAGCAGAGUGUGUACACGCCACCCACCAUAAAAGGGGUUAAGCAUCUGAAAGGCCAGAAUGAAUCAGCGUUCCCUGAAGAAGAAGAAGGCACCAAUGAAAGAGAGGAGCAGCGGGACCAUUAAUUACUGGUCUGCAGCAAGAAGCCUUCUUGGAAAUAACUGAACUAUUAACUUUUCUGAGUAUACCAUGGAAUUCCACUGCUUGACUUCCAGAAGCAUCCUCCAUCUCUGCACCCCACACUCAUACAGUAGCUAUGCACAUCCUGGAAGUCUCCUUGACUGAACUUUAGAACUAAGUACACAUUGUUCCACAUCACUUAUAAUUAAAGAAUAAGCAUUUAUUU
rnacentral:sRNA from 1 species